rnacentral:ncRNA from 1 species
ACCCCGGUGAGAAUGCCCUCCCUCUUCCGAGCGAAGACAAGGAGCCGAUAUCAGGCACGACCUCGUUGGUCAGCCCACAACAUCUUGCUUAGCCACCCCCCUACGGGUCUUCAGCAGUGACAAACAUUAAGCUAUGAGUGAAAACUUGACUUAGUUAGAGCUAAGAGGGUCGGUUAAUUUCGUGCCAGCCACCGCGGUUACACGAAAGACCCAAGUUGACAGACAACGGCGUAAAGAGUGGUUAGGGAUAUUUAGACUAAAGCCGAAGGCCCUCAAAGCAGUUAUACGCUCACGAGAGUACGAAGCCCACCUACGAAAGUGGCUUUAUUAACCCCUGAACCCACGAAAGCUAUGGUACAAACUGGGAUUAGAUACCCCAUUAUGCUUAGCCCUAAACAUUGAUAGUAAACUUACAUAAACUAUCCGCCUGGGUACUACGAGCAGAAGCUUAAAACCCAAAGGACUUGACGGUGCUUUAGACCCACCUAGAGGAGCUUGUUCUAGAACCGAUACUCCACGUUAAACCUUACCUUUUCUUGCUAAUUCCGCCUAUAUACCGCCGUCGUCAGCUUACCCUGCAAAGGACAAGCAGUAAGCUCAAUUGGCACAGCCCAAAACGCCAGGUCGAGGUGUAGCGUAUGAAAAGGAAUGAAAUGGGCUACAUUCAAUCAAGCAAUGAAUACGAAUGAUGAACUUGAAACAGUCAUCUGAAGGAGGAUUUAGCAGUAAAAGGAAAGCAGAGUGUUCCUUUGAAGCAGGCUCUAAAGCGCGUACACACCGCCCGUCACUCUCCCCGAGAACAAUAACCCUGUAAAUAACCCUACAAAAUAAAUAAGGGGAGGCAAGUCGUAACAUGGUAAGUGUACCGGAAGGUGCACUUGGAAUAACUUU